AUACGUAGGGGGCGAGCGUUGUCCGGAAUGAUUGGGCGUAAAGGGCGCGUAGGCGGCGCGGUAAGUCUGGAGUGAAAGUCCUGCUUUCAAGGUGGGAAUUGCUUUGGAUACUGCCGCGCUUGAGUGCAGGAGAGGUUAUCGGAAUUCCCGGUGUAGCGGUGAAAUGCGUAGAGAUCGGGAGGAACACCAGUGGCGAAGGCGGGUAACUGGACUGCAACUGACGCUGAGGCGCGAAAGUGUGGGGAGCAAACAGGAUUAGAUACCCUGGUAGUCCACACUGUAAACGAUGAAUGCUAGGUGUAGGGGGUAUCGACCCCUUCUGGGCCGCAGUCAACACAAUAAGCAUUCCGCCUGGGGAGUACGGCCGCAAGGUUGAAACUCAAAGGAAUUGGCGGG
rnacentral:rRNA from 1 species